rnacentral:rRNA from 1 species
GAUGAACGCUGGCGGCGUGCUUAACACAUGCAAGUCGAACGGAAAGGCCCAAGCUUGCUUGGGGACUCGAGUGGCGAACGGGUGAGUAACCCGUGGGUGAUCUGCCCUGCACUUCGGGAUAAGCCUGGGAAACUGGGUCUAAUACCGGCUAGGACCACUUCUGGGAUGUUGUUGUGGAAAGGUUUUUCGGUGUGGGAUGAGCUCGCGGGCUAUCAGCUUGUUGGUGGGGUAAUGGCCUACCAAGGAGCCGCCGGGUAGCCGGCCUGAGAGGGUGUACGGCAACAUUUGGACGGAGAUACGGCCCAGACUCCUACGGGAGGCAGCAGUGGGGAAUAUUGCACAAUGGGCGCAAGACUGAUGCAGCGACGCCGCGUGGGGGAUGACGGCCUUCGGGUUGUAAACUCCUUUCGCGAGGGACGAAGCGUUUUUGUGACGGUACCUGGAGAAGAAGCACCGGCUAACUACGUG